GACAGAGGGUGCAAACGUUGCUCGGAAUUACUGGGCGUAAAGCGCGUGUAGGCGGAUCUGCAAGUCAGGUGUGAAAUCCCUGGGCUCAACCCGGGAACUGCACUUGAAACUGCUGGUCUCGAGUACUGGAGAGGGUAGUGGAAUUCCUGGUGUAGAGGUGAAAUUCGUAGAUAUCAGGAGGAACACCGGUGGCGAAGGCGGCUACCUGGACAGUGACUGACGCUGAGACGCGAAAGCGUGGGGAGCAAAC
rnacentral:rRNA from 1 species